CGAAAGCCUGACGGAGCAACGCCGCGUGCGGGAGGAAGGUUUUAGGACUGUAAACCGCUUUUCUCAGGGAAGAAGCUCUGACGGUACCUGAGGAAUAAGCAUCGGCUAAUUCCGUGCCAGCAGCCGCGGUAAUACGGGAGUGGCAAGCGUUAUCCGGAAUCAUUGGGCGUAAAGCGUCCGCAGGCGGCCUUGAAAGUCUGUCGUUAAAGCGUGGAGCUUAACUCCAUUUCAGCGAUGGAAACUACAAGGCUUGAGUGUGGUAGGGGCAGAGGGAAUUCCCGGUGUAGCGGUGAAAUGCGUAGAUAUCGGGAAGAACACCAGUGGCGAAGGCGCUCUGCUGGGCCAUAACUGACGCUCAUGGACGAAAGCCAGGGGAGCG
rnacentral:rRNA from 1 species